GACUGGUCAGAUAUGUUGAUGCACUAACCUAAAUUUAAUCAGUCAGAUGUCAGAUCUACUAAUUUAGAAGAGACAUAAAUCUAAAUCUUCUCACUAAAUAUUAAGUCUAGAGGUCUUCUAUCAUUGUAAAGAUGCGGGUGCCUUCCUGGCAUUGAUUGUUCUCAACUGGUUACAGUAGUUCGAUUGCAUUGAAAAGGUACAACCACUUUAUUGACAUUUGAUAUCCUGAGGUAGAGAUGGGGUUGGGUCCAAUAACUGUUAGGUGAGGGUCUCAAUGAUGGCUUUGCGCCCGCUAGUGAAUGAUGGGUUUGACUUAACUA
rnacentral:lncRNA from 1 species